CUAGUGCCUACGAGAAGAGUUUGGUACACAAGAUUUUUGGUGGUCGCCUCCGAAGUCAGGUCAAAUGCAUGCAAUGUUCUUUUUGCUCCAACAAAUUUGAUCCAUUUUUAGAUCUAAGUCUGGACAUAGUGAAGGCUGAUUCUAUUUAUAAAGCGUUUAAAAACUUCACCACUCCUGAGCUAUUGGAUGGAGGGGAAAGGCAGUAUCAAUGCCAACGAUGCAAG
rnacentral:misc_RNA from 1 species